GGCAGAUGUUAUCGAAGUACCGUAGGAGGCGGCCGGUCCCCGGGUUGUGAGCAACGCGGUGCGAGGUUGCAGCAUCAGCACGGCCGUGACAGCGCUCCGCCAUGCCAUGGUGCCCGCCGAGCCGCCCCGCCUCCCCCCCCUUCCCUAUACGGGCGUCCCGCCCUCAGGCCGUCACCCGCGUCCCCUGUGAGGGGCAGUACAGCGCCAGCCCUGAGGCAGCGCGGGCACACGGGACGCCAGCGGCCCUCCGCGAGCCUCUGCGCAUGCGCGGAGCCGCGACAACCUCCCCCUGCCGACACCGCUCGGCGGGAACGCGCUUCUGCUGCCGCGCUCUGUUUGGCGGCCGCGGUUGUCAGUCAGGGGAGGGAGAGGCGGUGUUGGUCGUUGUUUUAGUGUGGUGUGGUGAGAGGGAUAAAAAGAAGCAGGCCCUGAUUUUUCGCUUUUGUAUCUGCUCUUGCUACUAGCAGCCUGAGGGGGAUUGGGAGGAAAAAAUAAGCUGUGGUGGUUAUUUGGAACUGCAGCUCUGCAUUGAACGUUGGACAGUGAGGAGAGCCCCCAGCUGGGCCUGUGCUGAGGACUGUAGCUUCUCUAAGGGAAGGCCUUCAGUGUGCCGAAUGCAAAUGCUCACCAAGAAUCGUUGGCUCUGCCACGUGUGGAGGAGAAAGGCCAGUCUGAGCCAUAGCCUGCCCAGGAUGAUGGUGAAGAGCACUGUGCAGAUAGUGAGGGAAAUGUAGAAAUCAUAGUGCUGGUACCAAGCUUGAAGAAGACCCAGGAAAUGCAAUUUCUUGCCCUAGACCUGGGCAGGAGGGAUUUUUCCAAGCCAGAGCAGUUGUGCCAGGGUAAGUUUAGGUUGGAUAUCAGGAAACACUUCUUUACAGAAAGGGUUGUUAAGCACUGGAAUAGGCUACCUAGGGAGGUGGUUGAGUCACCAUCCCUGGAUGUGUUUAAAAACCAUUUGGAUGUGGUGCUCAGGGACAUGAUUUAGCCGAGGGUUGUUAAGAGUUAGGGUAGUAUGGUUAGGUCAUGGUUGAACUCAGUCUUUAAGCUCUUUUCCAACCUGAGCGAUUCUAUGAUCCUAGACACAUUUCCCCCAGCCCAAUGGGAGCUCAGUGGCUAUCCCGAGAGUGAGAAGUUGUCAGCCUUCUUGCUCCACUUCAGUUUGUUUGUAUUGGACCAACAAUGCUUAGAAGUGAAUGACAGUCAUAGCAAAUGCCAGUGCAUAAAGAGAUUAACUCAGCUGUGUGAGCAUACUGGUUUCAUUUAUCCCCCAAGCAGAUCAAACCAUUUAAGAUUAAGGUCUUUAGUAUAGCUAAUUACAAGUAAUCCACCAUUGAGACAAGCUGCCUUUGCUUUUGCCCAAUGGCAUACACGAGACCAUGCAGUUUCCUUCCACUUUCAGAGGCCUGUUUUUGCUGUGCGUGUCACUGAUCUCACUUCCUUCUGAUGAAAGAUGAUGACAGCUGACUGUUGUGAGUACACACACACACACACACACACAAAAAAAAAGACCUAGCUUGCUCUUUUGCUACACAAACUGCUUUAUUUCUUUUUCCUGAAUGUUGGAACUCUCAAAUCAAAAGGGUUCCUAUCUCACCUUUCACUGGGGGAGAUGUCUCAAACUUUUUGUAUCCAGUUUCAUUCCUGUUAAAACACCUUUCAACGUCUUAUCUUAUGCAUCCUCCUCCUAUUAUGGCUGAAGAUGUAGUAAUUUGUCACAACCUGUGGUGAAGAACUGAGGGAUAAGGUAGAAACCAUUGAGUACAAUGUAGGAGGAGAAAAGAGGUAGUUAGAAAGGUGAAGCCCUGACCUCUCAUCAGAUAACAGAAAAGGGAGAUGAGGAGGUUUAUGUAUCACUGAAGAAUUAAGGUUUGGGUAGUUCUGGAUCAGUUAACCACACUGUCAUUGUGAUGAAAACCAGGUGGAUGUGCUGCACCAUGCAUUGUCUCCAGGCCUUUAAUUGCAGGUCUGGACCAAAUGAGGCAUGAAAGCAACCAUUCCUUUCCCAUUUGCUUGGACUGUGCA
rnacentral:lncRNA from 1 species